rnacentral:sRNA from 1 species
AUGAAGGAACAUCGGCUAAAAUCUCCACGCCCUGUAGCAACACCGAUGCGACCUUUAUCCUGUAG